rnacentral:rRNA from 1 species
CCCUUAGAUGUUCUGGGCAGCACGCGCGCUACAAUGGUCCUCGCAAACGGAUGCAUUCUCGAAGGAGAAUGCCAAUCUUGGAAUCUAUGCCUUGGUCGGGACAGUUGCUUGCAAUUUUUCGACUCGAACCAGGAAUUCCUUGUAAUCGUGAUUCAUCACAUCACGAUGAAUACGUCCCUGCCCUUUGUGCACACCGCCCGUCGCUCCUACCGAUCGAAGAGUUAGGUGAAUUGUUUUGAUCGAUAAGAUUUGACUAUGGUCAACUCUCGUUGUGAAAUUCUGUGAAUCUGACUGUUUAGAGGAAGGAAAAGUCGUAACA